GAGGGGAGAGCUCAGUGACAGAGCAUGUGUUUGUUAUGCACAAGGUCCUGGGUUCAAUCCCCAGUGCCUCUG
rnacentral:tRNA from 1 species